UCUCUUGAGAGCCAUAUGGAGGAUGUUUUCUUAACAUCUCCUCCCUAUGCUUUCAUGAGUCU
rnacentral:pre_miRNA from 1 species